rnacentral:rRNA from 1 species
GCGCAGCGAAAGGUGCUUGCACCUUUCAAGCGAGUGGCGAACGGGUGAGUAACACGUGGAUAACCUGCCUCAAGGCUGGGGAUAACAUUUGGAAACAGAUGCUAAUACCGAAUAAAACUUAGUAUCGCAUGAUACAAAGUUGAAAGGCGCUACGGCGUCACCUAGAGAUGGGUCCGCGGUGCAUUAGUUAGUUGGUGGGGUAAAGGCCUACCAAGACAAUGAUGCAUAGCCGAGUUGAGAGACUGAUCGGCCACAUUGGGACUGAGACACGGCCCAAACUCCUACGGGAGGCUGCAGUAGGGAAUCUUCCACAAUGGGCGCAAGCCUGAUGGAGCAACGCCGCGUGUGUGAUGAAGGCUUUCGGGUCGUAAAGCACUGUUGUAUGGGAAGAAAUGCUAGAAUAGGGAAUGAUUCUAGUUCGACGGUACCAUACCAGAAAGGGACGGCUAAAUACGUGCCAGCAGCCGCGGUAAUACGUAUGUCCCGAGCGUUAUCCGGAUUUAUUGGGCGUAAAGCGAGCGCAGACGGUUGAUUAAGUCUGAUGUGAAAGCCCGGAGCUCAACUCCGGAAUGGCAUUGGAAACUGGUUAACUUGAGUGUUGUAGAGGUAAGUGGAACUCCAUGUGUAGCGGUGGAAUGCGUAGAUAUAUGGAAGAACACCAGUGGCGAAGGCGGCUUACUGGACAACAACUGACGUUGAGGCUCGAAAGUGUGGGUAGCAAACAGGAUUAGAUACCCUGGUAGUCCACACCGUAAACGAUGAAUACUAGGUGUUAGGAGGUUUCCGCCUCUUAGUGCCGAAGCUAACGCAUUAAGUAUUCCGCCUGGGGAGUACGACCGCA